rnacentral:rRNA from 1 species
GACGUAGGGGCAAGCGUUGUCCGGAAUUAUUGGGCGUAAAGAGCUCGUAGGCGGCCAGUUGCGUCCGCUGUGAAAUCCCGGGGCUUAACCCCGGGCGUGCAGUGGAUACGGGCUGGCUAGAGGCAGGCAGGGGAGAACGGAAUUCCCGGUGUAGCGGUGAAAUGCGCAGAUAUCGGGAGGAACACCGGUGGCGAAGGCGGUUCUCUGGGCCUGUACUGACGCUGAGGAGCGAAAGCGUGGGGAGCAAACAGG